rnacentral:rRNA from 1 species
AUUGAACGCUGGCGGCAUGCCUUACACAUGCAAGUCGAACGGCAGCACGGGGCAACCUGGUGGCGAGUGGCGAACGGGUGAGUAAUGCAUCGGAACGUGCCAUUGAGUGGGGGAUAACGUAGCGAAAGUUGCGCUAAUACCGCAUAUUCUGUGAGCAGGAAAGCAGGGGACCGCAAGGCCUUGCGCUCUUUGAGCGGCCGAUGUCAGAUUAGCUAGUUGGUGAGGUAACGGCUUACCAAGGCGACGAUCUGUAGCGGGUCUGAGAGGAUGAUCCGCCACACUGGAACUGAGACACGGUCCAGACUCCUACGGGAGGCAGCAGUGGGGAAUUUUGGACAAUGGGCGCAAGCCUGAUCCAGCCAUGCCGCGUGAGUGAAGAAGGCC